rnacentral:rRNA from 1 species
AGUGAACGCUGGCGGUAGGCCUAACACAUGCAAGUCGAACGGCAGCACAGUAAGAGCUUGCUCUUACGGGUGGCGAGUGGCGGACGGGUGGGGAAUACAUCGGAAUCUACUUUUUCGUGGGGGAUAACGUAGGGAAACUUACGCUAAUACCGCAUACGACCUACGGGUGAAAGCAGGGGAUCUUCGGACCUUGCGCGAUUGAAUGAGCCGAUGUCGGAUUAGCUAGUUGGCGGGGUAAAGGCCCACCAAGGCGACGAUCCGUAGCUGGUCUGAGAGGAUGAUCAGCCACACUGGAACUGAGACACGGUCCAGACUCCUACGGGAGGCAGCAGUGGGGAAUAUUGGACAAUGGGCGCAAGCCUGAUCCAGCCAUACCGCGUGGGUGAAGAAGGCCUUCGGGUUGUAAAGCCCUUUUGUUGGGAAAGAAAUCCAGCCGGCUAAUACCUGGUUGGGAUGACGGUACCCAAAGAAUAAGCACCGGCUAACUUCGUG